rnacentral:rRNA from 1 species
ACUCCUACGGGAGGCAGCAGUGAGGAAUAUUGGUCAAUGGGCGGAAGCCUGAACCAGCCAUGCCGCGUGCGGGAAGGAGGCCCUAUGGGCUGUGAACCGCUUUUGCCUGGGGGCAAUAAGGGCGUCGCGCACGUCCGAUGAGAGUACCAGGGGAAUAAGCAUCGGCUAACUCCGUGCCAGCAGCCGCGGUAAUACGGGGGAUGCGAGCGUUAUCCGGAUUCAUUGGGUUUAAAGGGUGCGUAGGCGGCCGAGUAAGUCAGCGGUGAAAGACCGGGGCUCAACCCUGGAAGUGCCGUUGAUACUGUUUGGCUGGAAUGAUCCCGCCGCGGGAGGAAUGAGUGGUGUAGCGGUGAAAUGCAUAGAUAUCACUCAGAACACCGAUUGCGAAGGCAUCUCGCGAGGGGUCAAUUGACGCUGAGGCACGAAAGCGUGGGGAUCGAACAGGAUUAGAUACCCUGGUAGUCCACGCAGUAAACGAUGAUGGCUAACUGUCGGGCCUACGGGUUCGGCGGCCAAGCGAAAGCGAUAAGCCAUCCACCUGGGGAGUACGACCGCAAGGUUGAAACUCAAAGGAAUUGACGGGGGCCCGCACAAGCGGAGGAACAUGUGGUUUAAUUCGAUGAUACGCGAGGAACCUUACCCGGGCUCGAACGGCACCUGAAUCACCCAGAGAUGGUCGAGUCUUCGGACAGGUGUCGAGGUGCUGCAUGGUUGUCGUCAGCUCGUGCCGUGAGGUGUCGGCUUAAGUGCCAUAACGAGCGCAACCCUUGCCUUCAGUUGCCAUCAGGUAGAGCUGGGCACUCUGGAGGGACUGCCACCGCAAGGUGUGAGGAAGGGGGGGAUGACGUCAAAUCAGCACGGCCCUUACGUCUGGGGCGACACACGUGUUACAAUGGCGGCUACAGAAGGAAGCUACCCCGCGAGGGGAUGCGGAUCUUAAAAGGCCGUCUCAGUUCGGACUGGAGUCUGCAACCCGACUCCACGAAGCUGGAUUCGCUAGUAAUCGCGCAUCAGCCAUGGCGCGGUGAAUACGUUCCCGGGCCUUGUACACACCGCCCGUCAAGCCAUGAAAGCCGGUGGCGCCUGAAGUACGUGACCGCAAGGAGCGUCCUAGGGCGAAAACGGUAAUUGGGGCUAAGUCGUAACAAGGUAGCCGUACCGGAAGGUGUGGCUG